rnacentral:misc_RNA from 1 species
GAAAUGCGAUAAGUAAUGUGAAUUGCAGAAUUCCGUGAAUCUUCGAAUCUUUGAACGCACAUUGCGCCCUCUGGCAUUCCGGGGGGCAUGCCUGUCCGAGCGUCAUUACGCACCCUCAAGCCCGGCUUGUGUGAUGGGCCCCGGCGUCUCGUUCGCGAGACGGGCCCGAAAGGCAGCGGCGGCGUCGACCCGAUGAGCCCGAGCGUAUGGGGACUUCUGUCACACGUUCGCGGUGCGGACCGGCGCCUGCUUGACUUUUCUGAUUAUCCAGGUUGACCUCGGAUCAGGUAGGGAUACCCGCUGAACUUAAGC